GUCUGCAACUCGACUCCAUGAAGCUGGAUUCGCUAGUAAUCGCGCAUCAGCCAUGGCGCGGUGAAUACGUUCCCGGGCCUUGUACACACCGCCCGUCAAGCCAUGGGAGUCGGGAGUGCCUGAAGUUCGUGACCGUCACAGGAGCGACCUAAGGCAAGACCGAUGACUGGGGCUAAGUCGUAACAAGGUAUC
rnacentral:rRNA from 1 species